rnacentral:rRNA from 1 species
GACAGAGGGUGCAAACGUUGUUCGGAAUUACUGGGCGUAAAGCGCGUGUAGGCGGCUUGGGCAAGUCGGAUGUGAAAGCCCUGGGCUCAACCUAGGAAGUGCACUCGAAAACUGCGAAGCUUUGAGUCUCGGAGAGGGUCGCGGAAUUCUCGGUGUAGAGGUGAAAUUCGUAGAUAUCGAGAGGAACACCGGUGGCGAAGGCGGCGACCUGGACGAUGACUGACGCUGGAGACGCGAAAGCGUGGGGAGCAAACAGG